rnacentral:rRNA from 1 species
AGUGAACGCUGGCGGUAGGCCUAACACAUGCAAGUCGAACGGCAGCACAGUAAGAGCUUGCUCUUACGGGUGGCGAGUGGCGGACGGGUGAGGAAUACAUCGGAAUCUACUUUUUCGUGGGGGAUAACGUAGGGAAACUUACGCUAAUACCGCAUCCGACCUACGGGUGAAAGAAGGGGAUCUUCGGACCUUGCGCGAUUGAAUGAGCCGAUGUCGGAUUAGCUAGUUGGCGGGGUAAAGGCCCACCAAGGCGACGAUCCGUAGCUGGUCUGAGAGGAUGAUCAGCCACACUGGAACUGAGACACGGUCCAGACUCCUACGGGAGGCAGCAGUGGGGAAUAUUGGACAAUGGGCGCAAGCCUGAUCCAGCCAUACCGCGUGGGUGAAGAAGGCCUUCGGGUUGUAAAGCCCUUUUGUUGGGAAAGAAAAGCAGCAGGUUAAUACCCCGCUGUUCUGACGGUACCCAAAGAAUAAGCACCGGCUAACUUCGUG